UGAGUUUGAUCCUGGCUCAGAGUGAAUGCUUGUAAUAUACUUGACACAUGCAAGUUGAACGUACAUUUUUGUAAGUAGCGUACGGGUGAGUAACACAAAAGAACGAAUUAUGCAGUAAGGGAUUAUGUAUUUACAGAAAUACCUUAUAUUAGAAAGAUUGUAAUCGCUGUUUAAUUGGCUUUUGUAAGAUUAGGUAGUUGGUAGGGUAAUGGCCUACCAAGCCGAGGAUCUUUAGCUGGUCUGAGAGGAUGAUCAGCCACACCGGAACUGAAACAAGGUUCGGACUCCCUUGGGAGGCAGCAGUGAGGAAUAUUGGACAAUGUGCGAAAGCAUGAUCCUGUAAUAUUACUUGAGUGAUGACGUUGAACUUACUUAAAACUCUUUAGCUAGAGAGGAUUAUGACGUUAUCUAGUGAAUAGCCCUGGCUAACUUCGUGCCAGCAGCUGCGGUAAUACGGAGGGGGCAAGUGUUACUCAUGAUAAUUGGGCGUAAAGGGUGCGUAGAUGGUUUCAUAAACUAAAUAUAAAAACAUAAUAUAAAAAUUAUGCUGGUAGUUAGCACUGUGAUUCUAGAGUACAUCAGAGGAAAGUCGUAUUGUUGACGGAAAGGUGAAAUUUGUAGAUGUCAAUAAGACGACCGAAGGCGAAGGCAACUUUCUGGGGUGUUACUGACGUUGAGGCACGAAAGCGUGGGGAGCAAACAGGAUUAGAUACCCUGGUAGUCCACGCUGUAAACGAUGAAUGUUGGAUUUUGGAUUUUGUCAAUUAGACAUAGUAAGAUUCAGUUUCUAAGCUAACGCGUAAACAUUCCGCCUGGGGACUACGAUCGCAAGAUUAAAACUCAAAGGAAUUGACGGAAAUCUGUACAAGCGGUGGAGCAUGUGGUUUAAUCCGAUACAACACGUCAAAUCUUACCAGUUCGUGUAAUGUAAGUAGUUUGUUUUUAAAAAACUGUGUUUAGUAUUUUAAUUAGAAUAUUAAAUGGUACUUGCACAGGUGUUGCAUGGCUGUCGUCAGCUCGUGUCGUGAGAUGUCAGGUUUAUUCCGGUAACGAGCGCAACCCUCGAAAUAUAUUGAAGCAUAGAUUUGUAAUUAUAUAUAGUUAAUUAGGUUUAUGUGGUUAUUAUAAUAUGUUUUACAGCUAAUGAUAAAUUAGCGGAAGGUGAGGAUGACGUCAAGUCGUCAUGGCCUUUAUGAACUGGGCUACACACGUGCUACAAAGGUUACUACAAAGAAGUGCGAAGAUGCGAAUCGGAGCUAAAUUCUAAAGGUAAUCAUAGUUCGAAUUGUUCUCUGAAACUUGAGAGCAUGAAGUAGGAAUCGCUAGUAAUCGUGGAUCAUGACAUCACGGUGAAUACGGAUUACGGGUUUUGUACACACCGCCCGUCAGACCAUGGAAAUUGGUUUCUUAUGACGUUUUUUAAGUAUACUUUGUUAAAAAUUAAAAAUAAUUUAUAUUUUAUAGAUAUUUUUUAUUAUCUUAGUGUAUUUA
rnacentral:rRNA from 1 species